rnacentral:rRNA from 1 species
CGCAUGAUUAAAGGUAUUUUCCGGUAGACGAUGGGGAUGCGUUCCAUUAGAUAGUAGGCGGGGUAACGGCCCACCUAGUCAACGAUGGAUAGGGGUUCUGAGAGGAAGGUCCCCCACAUUGGAACUGAGACACGGUCCAAACUCCUACGGGAGGCAGCAGUGAGGAAUAUUGGUCAAUGGGCGAUGGCCUGAACCAGCCAAGUAGCGUGAAGGAUGACUGCCCUAUGGGUUGUAAACUUCUUUUAUAUGGGAAUAAAGUCGGGUAUGCAUACCCGUUUGCAUGUACUUUAUGAAUAAGGAUCGCUACUCCGUGCCACACCGCGGUAUCGGAGGAUCCGAGCGUUAUCCGGAUUUAUUGGGUUUAAAGGGAGCGUAGAUGGAUGUUUAAGUCAGUUGUGAAAGUUUGCGGCUCAACCGUAAAAUUGCAGUUGAUACUGGAUGUCUUGAGUGCAGUUGAGGCAGGCGGAAUUCGUGGUGUAGCGGUGAAAUGCUUAGAUAUCACGAAGAACUCCGAUUGCGAAGGCAGCCUGCUAAGCUGCAACUGACAUUGAGG